rnacentral:lncRNA from 1 species
AGAAAGUCAAACUCAUAUCCGAUCUUGAUAACACAAAAGAUAAAUAAUUAACAACAUGCAGAAGAAAAAAGAAAUCCAAAUCCAAGUGGAACGAUAUUCUCAAUUUACAUAAUCUGAAAAAUACAUAAAAGAAGGAUAGAUGUGUUUUGCAAGAAACAUCAGUGUGAAUAUAGAUAUCUAUUUUUCCACCUUAACAACAACAUCAAUCUUAUCACCUCUCAAUCCUGCUUGAUGAGCCUAAUUCAGAUACGAACAUAUGUUUAGGUAUAUCCACUUAUCUUAUUUCCGGAAUCCGAGAGCCCCGCAAAACUGUUAAACCUUAUGGUAGCAUUAAAACAGCAAAUGUGUCAUAUCCUGCCGUAUGUUGGCAAGCAUGAAGCUAAUUUAAUGAAAAUGUUUAGCCUUCAAAGAUUUUAUAUGUUUAAAUAUAUAAACCUAUACCCUUCCCAGCAUGCUUAUAUAAAACUUCAAGCCAGGUAAAGAAAUGAAAAAGUAAUACCUGUGCAAUUGAUGCAGAACCAAGAUGAUUUACAUCAAAUUUCUGAAAAAUUUCACCCAUGCUUCGACCAAACUCCUCUAAAACAAGUUGAACAGCAUCAAAUGUCUUAACAUAUAUAGAAAACAACACGAAACAAAGCACAUUUCUAUUAAAUUAUGACAACCUCCCCUUAUAGAGUUCUUUAAUGAAGUAAUUCAAUAACUCAUAACAUACGAAAUAACGUAUCCAAAGCCAAUUUAAUGCAUUCGAGUCAUGACCAAUGUCAAAUUAUAAAACAUAGAGAAAUAUAAUCCACAAACCUUGAAAAUUGAAAUCAACAAGCUCAAAGCAUUCCAGCAAAGGAUCCUCAAAAAGAGACCUGCAAUACGACUGGUAGAUUCCCCUACACACGCAAGUUGCAGAAUCAAUACAAGUAUCCACUGAACACAAACAAAAAAUAGUAAACCAUACAAAUAAACAAUCAACAAAAAGAAAAGAGACUUGAAGAAGAGUUUUAUACCUUAAGUUUCUAUGAUGAAACAAAAAAAUAAAAGAGAGCGUAGAAAACUGAGGCAUAAAAACAAUAUCACUAACCUUUCUUGAAAGAAAGGUCAGAAUAUCCAACCUUUCACGCGGAGAUGGAAAAUCACAGAAACGGAGGCGAUCAAGCCUACUUAGUCUUAGUAAUGCAGCAUCAAGCAGAUCUGGUCUACUGUUUAUGAGAAGAAUUCAAGUCAAUUUUUAUUAAAGCCAUACAACUCAUAAGGAAAACCAUGAAAUAAGAAACUCAUAUAUUUAUGGAAAAACUUGAAAUCAAGAAACGUAUUCUCUUUUAAAAAUUUUGCGCUACUUGAAAAGCUAUCUUAUUUGGGUAUGCAUCUCAUGUUAAAAUCGAUCACGUGAAGAUAAUAACGAACCAAACUCAACAUUGUGGGGAUUAACCGAAGAUUAAGGAUAGAUACUAUCAAAAUAAUACAAUAGGAUUCCAUGAGAACUAACCUUGUUGCAACAAAUACAAAUACACCAGUCAAAAACUUCAAAACCAUCUAAUUGUUAUUAUCGAAAGUGAUUCACCUGGCAUCAUUUCCAGGCUUCGGAGCAACAUUAUGGACCUGUCCUAUGUUGGCAUCUUUAUAAAUGGGACAUGGGCAUUGAUGCCCUUAUUUGAGUCUGUAUUCAUCCACAGGCAUGGUAAUAGAGUAGCACAUAGCCUAAAAAUCAUUUUAGAGUUUGAAUUAGAAACAAAAAUGCAUGAUAUUGUGGUCAUUCUAACCCCUUUCAGCAUGUCAACUACAAGUAAAAUUUGAACUUUCUAUUCAAAUUCAUUCAUCAAUGGUUGCCAAACCCAAUUUAAUCCUACACUACAUGGUACUUCAAACUACAAAUUUUUAGCAUAUAUGAUGCAUAAAAAUUUUGGUCAAUAUAACAAAUCUCAAAUUGCAAUGCUUUAUUGAAUAGAAAGAAAAUCAAGUAGCUAGACUAUGGAAAGAGAUAAAAAAAAAGAGUCCAAUUUCUACACAAAAAGAAUUGAACAUCAGCAUUCAUAACAUAAAACAAUACUUUUCAGCAAGCACCAUAUAAUUUAAUCAUUAAAAAAGUCUCUUUUUCUUUGUUAAAAACCCAAAAUUUUUCCAAUCAUUCUCAUUUGGCCAACUUUGAUUUCUCAAGGGAAAUUAUUUGAUCAAUGAUUCCACAACCCAUUUAUAAAGAAAUCAGUUGUUAAACUCAAAAAAACGAAAGUCUCCUUUAGACAUAGCCAAAUACAAGUAAUUAACAUUUACCAGCUAUCAAAGUUGUAAAAGACCCAGAAAAAAAUCAAAAAUUGCAAAGAAAACAGAGAAAAAUAACAUUUACAAGCUAUCGAAGUUGUAGAAAACCCAAGAAAAAUAAAAAAUUGCAAAGAAAACAUGAGAAUUAAAAAAAGAAAAAACCAGAAAAACUCAAAUUAGGGCUAGCAGGCCAAAACUUAGAAGCAACAACAAAAUGAGUACUCCUCACUACAGCAAAAUAGGUUUUUAGCGGCAUUUUUUUGGGCCUAUAGCAGUGCUUAUAAGUGCCGCUAAAACUAUUUGAAAAAACCCCUAAAAACAACGCCACUAACAUUUUGACGCCGAUAUAGAACAUGACCUUUAGCGGCGCUUUUACCACAAACGCCGCUAAAGAACAUGACAUUUAGCGACAAUUUUCCUACAAAGAAUGGACCUUUAACGACACUUUUCCCACAAACAUCGCUAAAAAUGACCUUUAGCGGCGCUUUUUUAAAAAAACGCUACUAUAGAACAGACCUUUAGUGGCGCUUUUCCCACAAACGCCGCUAGAACAUGACUUUAAAAAAUAUUUUAAUUAAAUAAUAUUUAUUUCUAUGAUAAAUAUUAUAUUAUGUUUCAUUUUUGAAAUUUAAAAUUUAAACUAUAUACUUUUAAGGAUUAAAAAAAAAUAUUAAUUAAAUUAAAUUUUCUAUUAAAAUUUUAACUUUAAAACUAAAUAUAAAAAUUAAUGAAUUUAAAUGUAAUACAUAAAACAU